CCUACGGGUGGCAGCAGUAGGGAAUAUUUGACAAUGGGCGCAAGCCUGACCCAGCAACGCCGCGUGAAGGAAGAAGGCUUUCGGGUUGGAAACUUCUUUUCUGGGGGGCGAACAAAUUACAGUACCACAGGACUGAGCCACGGCUAACUACGUGCCAGUAGCCUCGGUAAUCCGGAGGUGGCAAGCGUUAACCGGAUUUAUGGGGGGUAAAGGACGUGUAGGCGGGAAUCACAGUCAGAUGUGAAACUGCAGGGCACAACCCUGAGUCUGCAUUUGAAACUGUGAUUCUUGAGUGCUGGAGAGGGAACUGGAAUUCCGUGUGGAGCGGUGAAAUGCGUAGAUAUAUGGAGGAACACCAGUGGCGAAGGCGGAUUGCUGGACAGUAACUGACGCUGAGGCGCGAAAGCGUGGGGAGCAAACAGGAUUAGAUACCCCUGUAGUC
rnacentral:rRNA from 1 species